UACAUACAGCAUCAUGCAUGGUGUACAGUGCUGUACACGUACACCUAAGUUCGUUGGCGUCGGAGGUCUUUCUGCUAUUAUCAACUUUUGAAGCGAGUUGCGUGUCUGGAGCUCUAAGUUGACAAACAUACAAGUUGGCUAUAUGUGAAACACCUCAUGGUGUAUGCUGAUCAAGUCUGCUUGUUAAUUCUGCUUUUU